UACGGAAGGCAGCAGUGGGGAAUAUUGCACAAUGGGCGAAAGCCUGAUGCAGCUAUGCCGCGUGUAUGAAGAAGGCCUUAGGGUUGUAAAGUACUUUCAUCGGGGAGGAAAAAACAAAACUAAUAAUUUUAUUUCUUGACGUUACCCGAAAAAGAAGCACCGGCUAACUCCGUGCCAGCAGCCGCGGUAAUACGGAGGGUGCUAGCGUUAAUCAGAAUUACUGGGCGUAAAGAGCACGUAGGUGGUUUUUUUAAGUCAGAUGUGAAAUCCCUGGGCUUAACCUGGAACUGCAUUUUGAAACUGAAAUACUAGAGUAUCGUAGAGGGAGGUAGAAUUCUAGGUGUAGCGGUGAAAUGCGUAGAUAUCUGGAGGAAUACCUGUGGCGAAAGCGGCCUCCUAAACGAAUACUGACACUGAGGUGCGAAAGCGUGGGGAGCAAACGAGGGAUUAGAUACC
rnacentral:rRNA from 1 species